rnacentral:tRNA from 1 species
GGCUCUGUGGCGCAAUGGAUAGCGCGUUGGACUUCUAAGUAAGACUUGUUGGAGUGAUUCAAAGGUUGUGGGUUCGAGUCCCACCAGAGUCG